rnacentral:rRNA from 1 species
GACGAACGCUGGCGGCGUGCCUAAUACAUGCAAGUCGAGCGCAGGAAAUCGACGGAACCCUUCGGGGGGAAGUCGACGGAAUGAGCGGCGGACGGGUGAGUAACACGUAAAGAACCUGCCCUCAGGUCUGGGAUAACCACGAGAAAUCGGGGCUAAUACCGGAUGGGUCAUCGGACCGCAUGGUCCGAGGAUGAAAGGCGCUUCGGCGUCGCCUGGGGAUGGCUUUGCGGUGCAUUAGCUAGUUGGUGGGGUAAUGGCCCACCAAGGCGACGAGGCAUAGCCGCCCUGCGAGGGUGAUCCGCCACACUCGAACUGAGACACGGCCCAGACUCCUACGGGAGGCAGCAGUAGGGAAUCUUCCACAAUGGACUAAAGUCUGAUGGAGCAACGCCGCGUGAACGAUGAAGGCCUUCGGGUCGUAAAGUUCUGUUGUAAGGGAAGAACAAGUGCCGCAGGCAAUGGCGGCACCUUGACGGUACCUUGCGAGAAAGCCACGGCUAACUACGUGCCAGCCGCCGCCGUAA